AAAGCAGCCUCGGCAGCGCCAGCUAAGCAACCGGCUCCAGGGCAGCGCGUUUUGGAGGCUGAAGCUGGGAAUGGAUCCAGUCACAUGAAAGUAGGGAAAGAACUGCCAAAGAAAGGAAGGCUCAGCCCAGGCACUGGGGAGCCUCUGAAAAGUUCUGAGCAGAGAAGAGACUGUAUGAAACUACGUUGGUGACUGUGUGCUGGAUGGAUCAGAAGGGAACAAAGUCGUCAGGGAUGAACAAAGAAUAACACAUGUGAGACUAAAAAUUUGGGGGACCCUCAGGAUUCUUGAUGGAGAAGGAAAUGGCGACCCACACCAGUGUUCUUGCCUGGAGAAUCCCAGGGAUGGGGGAGCCUGGUGGGCUGCCGUCUAUGGGGUCACACAGAGUCGGACACGACUGAAGCGACUUAGCAGCAGCAGCAGGAUUCUUGAUCCAGGAGGCAGGGGUUCAGUCGCUGAUCUGGGACGAUCCCACGUGCCGCGGAGGACUGCUGAGCCUGUGCUCUAGAGCCUGGUAGCCACAACUGCUGAGCCCACGUGUCCCAGCUGCUCAAGUCCGAACGCCCUAAAGCCCACGCUCCCCAGCAGAGAAGCCAGCACAGUGAGAAGCCUGUGCGUCAAGCUGGAGAGAGGCCCCCGCCCGCUGCAGCUCGAGAGAAGCCGGAGCAGCAGCAAAGACCCAGCACCGCCAUAAGUAAUAAAUAAAAACAUUUACAAAAAUAAAAUACCAACUCCGAGAGAUGCAUCAUGGAGUAGAACUGGGAUUAGAGAGUUCUCGGUUAUCUCUUUCAAUGAAAGCAUAGAGUUGUCAACUACAUGUUUGAUGGUGAGCAAAUCUCCUCACCUGUUAGAUCUCAUUUGCAAAAUCAAAAAUGUCCUCUGGCCAGGAAGCAUCAUAAAGUGAAUGUUUUGCUUUUUCUUAUACACUCUGCUCCUGGUGUGGUAGGUACAGCUAUUACUACAUUCCUAUGAUCUUAUUUUAAUUUUAAAUCCCUGGGUAAGAAGUAUUUCUUAAAAAAUCAAAUUUUAAUCUUAUUUUCUUCCAAAAAAAUUAAAAAUUAAUUCUAUUAAAUUACAAGAGAUAUAGUGUAGUGCUUACAUGCUUGGUCCUCUGAAAUAGAUUUUUUUCGUUUCAACACUUAAAUUAAGCAAAUCGCUGAGUCUCUCAGUGCCUCGGUUUCUACAUAAGGAUAAUGACGCUGGCCUCACAGCAUGGGCAGGAGGAUGGAAUGAUACAGUUAGCACAGGGCCUGGCCAUAGCCAAUGGUCAGUUCAGUUCAGUUACUUAGCUCUUUGCAACCCCAUGGACUGCAGCAU